UACAGAGGUCCCAAGCGUUGUUCGGAUUCACUGGGCGUAAAGGGUGCGUAGGCGGUCGAGUAAGUCUGACGUGAAAUCUCCGGGCCUAACCCGGAAACUGCGUUGGAAACUACUUGGCUAGAGGAAUGGAGGGGAGACUGGAAUACUUGGUGUAGCAGUGAAAUGCGUAGAUAUCAAGUGGAACACCAGUGGCGAAGGCGGGUCUCUGGGCAGUAACUGACGCUGAGGAGCGAAAGCGUGGGGAGCGAACAGG
rnacentral:rRNA from 1 species